rnacentral:tRNA from 1 species
GCCUUCAUAGCUCAGUCGGUAGAGCGUCGCCUUGGUAAGGCGGAGGUCACGGGUUCGAUUCCCGUUGUAGGCUCCA